rnacentral:rRNA from 1 species
UACGGAGGGUGCAAACGUUGCUCGGAAUCAUUGGGCGUAAAGCGCACGUAGGCGGCUCGUUAAGUCGGGUGUGAAAGCCCUAGGCUCAACCUAGGAAGUGCACUCGAAACUGGCGAGCUUGAAUAUGGAAGAGGGUCGCGGAAUUCCCGGUGUAGAGGUGAAAUUCGUAGAUAUCGGAAGGAACACCAGUGGCGAAGGCGGCGACCUGGGCCAAUAUUGACGCUGAGGUGCGAAAGCGUGGGGAGCAAACAGG